rnacentral:misc_RNA from 1 species
AGAAAUUGUGAUCGAUAAAGAGAGAGUUCUAGCUGAUGUUGGAGGCGGGGUCCACUGCGUAGGCAUUGGACGAUCAGAGAUGUUAAAUGCAGCGAGUAAUAUCGUAGGGAAUUUUCAUCAGCAGAAUCUAUGGGUGGAGUUUGAUUUAGCCAAUCGUAGAGUGGGAUUGGGUAAGGCCGAUUGUAGCAGAUCGGCGUAAGAAGCUCCAAAUUAAAUUUAAUAUAAAAGACUGUACCAAAAAAAAAAUUUCAGACGCGUUUGUGGUGGUAGAGAAGUAAUCCAACCACCCAUAUGAAACUAACAUGUUAGUGAUAGAGUGUAAGUUCACGGGAAUGGUAAUAGAUGUGUUGUAAGUUUACAGAUUAGUGUAAAAAUAAUCUUGUUUGGUUGUAUGUACGAAACUAUCCCUGGCGA